rnacentral:rRNA from 1 species
GAUGAACGCUGGCGGCGUGCCUAAUACAUGCAAGUCGAGCGAACAGACGAGGAGCUUGCUCCUCUGACGUUAGCGGCGGACGGGUGAGUAACACGUGGAUAACCUACCUAUAAGACUGGGAUAACUUCGGGAAGCCGGAGCUAAUACCGGAUAACAUGUUGAACCGCAUGGUUCAACAGUGAAAGACGGUUUUGCUGUCACUUAUAGAUGGAUCCGCGCCGCAUUAGCUAGUUGGUAAGGUAACGGCUUACCAAGGCAACGAUGCGUAGCCGACCUGAGAGGGUGAUCGGCCACACUGGAACUGAGACACGGUCCAGACUCCUACGGGAGGCAGCAGUAGGGAAUCUUCCGCAAUGGGCGAAAGCCUGACGGAGCAACGCCGCGUGAGUGAAGAAGGUCUUCGGAUCGUAAAACUCUGUUAUUAGGGAAGAACAAAUGUGUAAGUAACUAUGCACGUCUUGACGGUACCUAAUCAGAAAGCCACGGCUAACUACGUG